CACGUAGGAGGCGAGCGUUGUCCGGAAUCAUUGGGCGUAAAGAGCGCGCAGGCGGUCGUUCAAGUCGCGUGUGAAAGCCCCCGGCUCAACUGGGGAGGGUCACGCGAUACUGAUCGACUCGAAGGCAGGAGAGGGUAGUGGAAUUCCCGGUGUAGUGGUGAAAUGCGUAGAUAUCGGGAGGAACACCAGUGGCGAAGGCGACUACCUGGCCUGUUUCUUGACGCUGAGGCGCGAAAGCUAGGGGAGCAAACGGG
rnacentral:rRNA from 1 species